AUUGAACGCUGGCGGUAUGCUUAACACAUGCAAGUCGAACGGUAACGGUCCCAGCUUGCUGGGAGCCGACGAGUGGCGGACGGGUGAGUAACGCGUAGGAAUCUACCUUAUAGUGGGGGACAACUUGGGGAAACUCAAGCUAAUACCGCAUAUGCCCUACGGGGUAAAGCAGGGGACUUUCGGGCCUUGCGCUAUAGGAUGAGCCUGCGUUGGAUUAGCUAGUUGGUGGGGUAAAGGCCUACCAAGGCGACGAUCCAUAGCUGGUUUGAGAGGACGAUCAGCCACACUGGGACUGAGACACGGCCCAG
rnacentral:rRNA from 1 species